GGCCCCGUUGUCUAGCGGUCUAGGACGCCGCCCUCUCACGGCGGUAGCAGGGGUUCGAAUCCCCUCGGGGCUACCA
rnacentral:tRNA from 1 species